rnacentral:rRNA from 1 species
AACGAACGCUGGCGGCAUGCCUAACACAUGCAAGUCGAACGAUACCUUCGGGUCUAGUGGCGCACGGGUGCGUAACGCGUGGGAACCUGCCCUUAGGUUCGGAAUAACUCCCCGAAAGGGGUGCUAAUACCGGAUAAUGUCUUCGGACCAAAGAUUUAUCGCCUUUGGAUGGGCCCGCGUUGGAUUAGCUAGUUGGUAGGGUAAAAGCCUACCAAGGCGACGAUCCAUAGCUGGUCUGAGAGGAUGAUCAGCCACACUGGGACUGAGACACGGCCCAGACUACUACGGGAGGCAGCAGUGGGGAAUAUAGGAAAAUGGGCGAAAGCCUGAUCCAGCAAUGCCGCGUGAGUGAUGAAGGCCUUAGGGUUGUAAAGCUCUUUUAAACGGGAUGAUAAUGACAGUACCGGGAGAAUAAGCUCCGGCUAACUCCGUG